CAGUCGCCACGGGAAUACAGAGGGUGCGAGCGUUAAUCGGAUUUACUGGGCGUAAAGCGUGCGUAGGCGGCUUUUUAAGUCGGAUGUGAAAUCCCUGAGCUUAACUUAGGAAUUGCAUUCGAUACUGGGAAGCUAGAGUAUGGGAGAGGAUGGUAGAAUUCCAGGUGUAGCGGUGAAAUGCGUAGAGAUCUGGAGGAAUACCGAUGGCGAAGGCAGCCAUCUGGCCUAAUACUGACGCUGAGGUACGAAAGCAUGGGGAGCAAACAGGAUUAGAUACCCGCGUAGUCCCUGUCUUUUAUAC
rnacentral:rRNA from 1 species